rnacentral:rRNA from 1 species
CUACGGGAGGCACCAGUAGGGAAUUUUCCACAAUGGGCGAAAGCCUGAUGGAGCAACGCCGCGUGCAGGAUGAAUGCCUUAGGGUCGUAAACUGCUUUUAUAUGUGACGAUUAUGACGGUAGCAUAUGAAUAAGGAUCGGCUAACUCCGUGCCAGCAGCCGCGGUCAUACGGAGGAUCCAAGCGUUAUCCGGAAUUACUGGGCGUAAAGAGUUGCGUAGGUGGCAUGGUAAGUAGAUAGUGAAAGCGUGUGGCUCAACCAUACUUACAUUAUCUAAACUGCUAAGCUAGAAGACGAGAGAGGUAGAUGGAAUUCCCAGUGUAGGAGUGAAAUCCGUAGAUAUUGGGAGGAACACCGAUGGCGUAGGCAGUCUACUGGCUCGUUCUUGACACUAAGGCACGAAAGCGUGGGGAGCAAACGGGAUUAGAUACCCGCGUAGUC